rnacentral:rRNA from 1 species
UACGUAGGUGGCAAGCGUUGUCCGGAUUUACUGGGUGUAAAGGGCGUGUAGCCGGGCUGACAAGUCAGAUGUGAAAUCCGGGGGCUCAACCCCCGAACUGCAUUUGAAACUGUUGGUCUUGAGUAUCGGAGAGGCAGGCGGAAUUCCUAGUGUAGCGGUGAAAUGCGUAGAUAUUAGGAGGAACACCAGUGGCGAAGGCGGAUUGCUGGACAGUAACUGACGCUGAGGCGCGAAAGCGUGGGGAGCAAACAGG